CGAGAAAGCCCGCAAGGGUGAGUAAAGCGGCGCACGGGUGCGUAACACGUGGGUAAUCUGCCCUGGAGUCCGGAAUAACUCGCCGAAAAGCGUGCUAAUGCCGGAUGAGACCACGGGAGCCUUGGCUCCUGCGGAAAAAGGUGGCCUCUGUACACAAGCUAUCACUCCAGGAUGAGCCCGCGGCCCAUCAGCUAGUUGGCGGGGUAAUGGCCCACCAAGGCAACGACGGGUAGCUGGUCUGAGAGGACGAUCAGCCACACUGGAACUGAGACACGGUCCAGACUCCUACGGGAGGCAGCAGUGGGGAAUCUUGCGCAAUGGGCGAAAGCCUGACGCAGCAACGCCGCGUGUGUGAUGAAGGUCUUCGGAUCGUAAAGCACUGUCGCGAGGGACG
rnacentral:rRNA from 1 species